UGCAGCCUGCAACUCGGCUGCAUGAAGCUGGAAUCGCUAGUAAUCGCGGAUCAGAAUGCCGCGGUGAAUACGUUCCCGGGCCUUGUACACACCGCCCGUCACACCAUGAGAGUCGGGAACACCCGAAGUCCGUAGCCUAACCGCAAGGGGGCGCGGCCGAAGGUGGGUUCGAUAAUUGGGGUGAAGUCGUAACAAGGUAGC
rnacentral:rRNA from 1 species